GGGGGAGGUGUGCAGCGGCGGCUGGGGCGGGCUGCGUUUUUGCCCCUCCUGGGUGGGCUGUGGGUGCCCCCCACCCCUGGGCCGCGUUGUAGCGGGGGUGAUUUUAAUGCUGAAAGGCGAAACCCGCUGCACCCGGGCAGGGGAGCUGGAAGCCGCGCUGAGGGGGGGAAACGCUGGGAGCCCGCCCCAGGGCAAGGCGGCAGCGCCCGCGCCCCCCUCCCCGGGGCGGCGAGCCGCCCGUGCCCGGCGGGGUCCCCUCCGCCCUGCCCGGCGGCCGGGCCCCCCCACCGCGGCCGCGCGUGGGCUUGGCGGCGCCGCGCAGGGCGCUCCGUGCCGGCGGCGCUCGAAGCCGGCGGGGCCGCAGCAGGCGCCGGGAGAGGUGUUGCACCCCGAGGGGGAAAAGGCUGGGGGCCGUAGCGGUUCAGCGUGAGAGCACGUCGCUCCCGCCUAAAAAUGUGGUGGUUGUUUUCUUUUUUUUUUUUUUUAAGGAAGUGGGGCGGGGGGGAGGAAGGAGAGAAAACCGAGAGACACGGUCCAGAGAGUGUCUGGCUGCUAAUUCAUGCCGUAACGAAUAAGCAGUUAAUAGAUAUAGGCGCUAAUUAGCGAGCAGUUAUUCCUCUUGUAAAUCGUGUUCAGCGGGGGAGAGCAGCAAUAGCGCGCACCAGAGAGAAAGCGGCGUUAAUGAUGGGCUGACUUCACCCCGGUGACCAGCCUCCCUGAGUGCCGCAGGACAGGCAGGCAGAUUUCCCACAGGACCUUAUUCCCUCUGUUGUCAGGAUGUCACAAGAAUAAAACUAGUUUGUUUGGUUUUCUUCUUUUUCUUUCUUGUAUAACCGACUUAAGAGAACACUUGCCAAGAAACUGUGGGUUUCAAGCCUAAGGUGUCCUUUCCAGAGAUGAUGGCAUGGAGCAAGGAGCUUACGAAACCCGAUAUGUUGCUGAUCACUGCUGAAGCAUUCUUCACUCAAGGACCCAGAGAUUUUUUUGCCUUUGCGUGCACCAGGAUGUGCACCCACACACACAUAUCCUUUCCCCUCCUGUCCAGUGACAGACUACAUGUACAUUUUUAACACAUCACCUUUUCCACUCCAAAUAUUUUAAACUGUUCGUUGUACAAAUGGAGAAGAUGCAAAAGAAAUGUGGAAAGAAGAGAAAACAUUUGAAACUGUGCCUGCUAAGAAGAACUGUGCCUUAAAACAAACACCCCUCCCUUCAUGGGUUGCUGCUCCCUCCUCACCUCUGGGAUGGGUCUAAACUGCAAUUCCAUGUUUGCCUCUAUGCUUACAUAUACUUAAAUCCUUGAGGCACAGUGGCAUCUCUGUUUUUCCUCUGUAACUCUCUGAGAGACUACUCCAUUUAAGAAAAUCCAUAGUGAAGACUCUAUUUCAAUUUACCACUACUAUUUAUAACACAGUUCUCUGCCAAAUUGUAGUUAAAAGGAAUAGAAGUGCCAUUACUGUAAAACCAAGCAACAUGAGACAGUACAUACAAGAAAUUAACAGAAAAGCCCUAUUGGGAGGAAAUUACAGACUCACCAACCACAUUUAUCCACUGGUUUUUCAUCUGAGCUGCUCUAACCAUCUUAGAAAAACUAGGGCUGGAGCUACACGAGGAUACAGGUGCACAGGUACUCUGCAGUGCUAGAGCACUGCUGGCAGAGAGGCACACUUUACCAGCACAACUGUUCCCGCCAGGAUCACCCGUCUUUCCCUUUCCCUCGCACCACUGCCCCCAAGCAAAGCAACACAUGAAUCUGCACUCACACAAGGGGUUUUUGCUGGCAGAGCUGUAUCAGUCACAAAUUGCACAUCUGAUCAAAAGUGAGUAUCAUGGCGUCUUCCCCUGCGUGAGGGGGGAAAUCAAGGACAGAGACAAGAUGUGACUCACCCAAACUGAGACAGCAAGGCAGAAGCAACUGCAGAACUGGAACAGAGUAUUUUCUUCCCUCACUUCUAAGUGCAGCUGCAGACAGACAGCAUUGCCACUGGACUGUGUAUUCCUAUGUUUAGUUACUUACUUAUUAACUGGAUAGCUGAUCAUGCCAAGAAAGUUAGUGGAAAUGCAAAGCAGAGACAUUUCUCCUCUUCCUGUCUCUCCGACCAGAGAAGAAAUGACAGAUUAUACAACCUGCUGGGAACCUCCACCUCCUCCAACUUUUAUAGGCUGGCAGAGGUUGAAAUUUCAUUGAUUUCUCAGUUACAGCUAGUCUCCAGAAGAAAAAGAGUUGAUCAUGCUAGCCCAAUACUAAAGUCAGAAACUCGGAUGAUUGUGGAUAUUACUACCUUCAGAGUGAAGUGCUAGGCACAUCUCCUGAUAGGUGACCUUCCACUGAGCCCUGAAGAUGGGGGAGCAACCAGCUAGUCUACCAUACACCAUUUCUCAGUACUUCCCAAAUGAGUGAAGCAGUGGGAGAAGUAUAAGAUAGAGCAUCAACUUGAGAUGACUCUAAUGGCCCUGUAUUUGGCUUUAAGAUAGGGCUUAGUUUAUUCAUUAUGUACGAGGCACUUUCUUAAGCACGAACAUGUAAUACCUCCGUUGCAGCCUGCCAGUAGGGGCUCACCAGAUGCUGGAGUAUUUUCGUGGGCUUCCCCUUACGUCUCACGUGUUGCACACUUACCCUGUGGGUUUCCAAAGAAGUUUCUCCAUGCUGCUCUGCAGAUGGCUGCACUCCAGUGAAGAAUGAAGUGAUUCUUGUUGCUAAAACAGCCCCCGCAACUAAACUUCCCUAGGAGAAUCAGCUAAGGUUUCUGAGUAACUGCAGCAGACUUCAGUACUACCAGAGUCCAGCAGGAAGUUUAAUCAAAAGGAGUGUAAUUUUUAUAUGGACCAAAUCAUCCGUAGAUUAUAGAUUACAGAGGUAGAAGGAAACACUGCUGGUCUGACCUUCGGUACAUCGCAGAUCACAGGGCUACCCUGGAUUAAUUCCUAUUCUAAUCAGAGUGCAUUGUUAAGAAUAACUUCCAGUCCUGAUUUCUAAAGAGCCAAUAAUAAACCAUUCAUUUGUAUUUCAUACAGAAUAGUGCCAUAUUUCAUCAGGAUGCACAAAUCUGUAUUCUGAAGGAACAAUAUGCAUCUGGGAUCAGAUUUAAGGCAUAGCCCUCAAAUUUGCAGGUAAACUGUAAUAUCUGACCUACCGGAAGGUUUUGUGACAUAGGCAUGGAGCAAAAAAGGCCUCUGCUUUUUCCCCUAUGACUUCUCCCUGUCUCUGGCCUCAGGACUGUGGCUGGGCAGGAGCAGAGCUGUGAGGGGCUGGAGCUGGCAUUGCUGCAGUGUCACGGGGCUGGGCUGAGAGGGAGAGCCGGAGGUGGCAGGGAUAGCGAGAGGUGAGGGUGUCCUCAGGGCCCAGACAGUUCUACUUCUACCUCUUUUUUUGCCAGUUCUACCCUUAUUUUUCUCCAUCCCACCUUUUGGCACCCCCGCCCUUGCUUCAUGCCCUGCCGGACUUCCCUUAUGUCUCUUGUCCUUGUGGGGCACAGGCAGGUUUAGAGGGGCUGCCAGGAAGGUGGGGGAGGACAAGGCUGAAAUGCAGCUGCCUCUGCUGGAGGAGACAGCCCAGCUGGUCUGGGUGUACCUGAUCCAAGAGGAUAAUGUGUGUUUUGACCAACUCAGGUAAGAGGGAGAUGAGUUCACCUCUGCUCUAAACGUCUUGUAUGAUGUGUCUCAUAUUAUAUAUUUUUCUUCAUUUACUGUGCCUGGAAAAUGGACCUCUGAGCCCCUGAAACCAGCAGACAUUUUGAUGGAAGAUACCUGAGAAAGAAUAUUUUACUGGAACCAAGAGAUGCUUGUCUGUUUGGAAGAUGAGCACUGGCUGAUCAAGAAAUUGCCAACAGAAAUUUCUCCUAUUAGCACUUUUUUUCCUUGUCUGUCUUGGUGGAGGAUCACUUUUCAUUUUCAGACCACAAGGCUACACUUACCAUCCCUGAUUUGGUAAAUUGCGUCUUGCAGAAGCAGUGUCCAAGCUACCUAUACUUAAGACUGUAGAGGAUAAUGUGUUUAUGGUGGACUCAGAGAGGGUCACAAAGAAGCAACAGAUGCUGCACAUGUACUGAAAUGGAGGCAACGGAUCAAAAUCAACCUUUCAAAAAGACUCUCCCUGUAGUCAAAAUAGAAGGAGGUGAAGAUACCUCUAUAGUCAGAGUUGGCUCAAGGCUUAUCAGCAGGGUAGGCAAAAUUUAAUUUUGCAGCCCAAGGAUUUUCUCUUCAUCCUUGGGCAGGCCAAAUUCAGCUGUGCAGCAGCAGUGGAGCAGGUCCCUCCCAGGACGCGCUCCUCCCUUUGCUGCCCGUGGUACUGUGCAACUCAGAGGUGGAAAAUGGACAGUCACCUUGCGUCUGCUGCUGGAACAGCCAUCCCCAUCCCUCCCAGCGCAGGCAAACCAGGCUGCUGGUUGCCCCUGGCAGGCUACCUACUGCCUUUGGCAGCUGACAGAUUUGCCUGUGCCUAAAAUCAGCCCUGUCUGUAAUGAGCUGCAGAAACUCACAUCUGCAAAGCCAAACCUAGAAUCAUCAUCUUCUAGCUGCAAAUCUGACCUACCGCUUAAAUUAAGGAUGCAGAUAAUUGAGUCGUCUCGUAUAAAACAAACUCUAUAAACUGUAAACAGUACACAAGAUGCAGGCUUACUGUGCCAGCUGGGAAAGCAGGCUGCUGGGAAGGAGCAUGCCUUACUCCUCGCAAAAAGGAGGGAGAAAUUUUGCUGUGCCCUUCGCUUCCCUGCCUAACCUUCGGGGAUCAUGACAUAGGCGCAUAUGCCCUCCUGUUUGUGCUCCAUGGGAUUACAAUCAAGCUGAGGAUUUCCAGUGAAAUCAGUAAGAAAGGUAGAGGACAUCAACAAAAUCAUUAAAAAUUUCUCUCAAUUAUAAUCUAGUUUCUUCAAAUACAGCUGUUGCUGGAGCCUCCAGACAGAGUUAAUGAUAUGGAAAAUCUGAAGGACAAUAAACAGUAUAUUUGUGAGCUAGAGGGAUCUGAACAAACAGUAAACAAAAAAGGAAAUGUCAAAGGGGUUAAAUCUUUAAUAAACUACAGCUCCAAAACCUUUGAUAACCUC